UGGGGAAUAUUGGACAAUGGGCGCAAGCCUGAUCCAGCCAUGCCGCGUGAGUGAUGAAGGCCCUAGGGUUGUAAAGCUCUUUUGUGCGGGAAGAUAAUGACGGUACCGCAAGAAUAAGCCCCGGCUAACUUCGUGCCAGCAGCCGCGGUAACACGAAGGGGGCUAGCGUUGCUCGGAAUCACUGGGCGUAAAGGGUGCGUAGGCGGGUCUUUAAGUCAGGGGUGAAAUCCUGGAGCUCAACUCCAGAACUGCCUUUGAUACUGAGGAUCUUGAGUUCGGGAGAGGUGAGUGGAACUGCGAGUGUAGAGGUGAAAUUCGUAGAUAUUCGCAAGAACACCAGUGGCGAAGGCGGCUCACUGGCCCGAUACUGACGCUGAGGCACGAAAGCGUGGGGAGCAAACA
rnacentral:rRNA from 1 species